GACGAACGCUGGCGGCGUGCUUAACACAUGCAAGUCGAACGGAAAGGCCCUGCUUUUGUGGGGUGCUCGAGUGGCGAACGGGUGAGUAACACGUGAGUAACCUGCCCUUGACUUUGGGAUAACUUCAGGAAACUGGGGCUAAUACCGGAUAGGAGCUCCUGCUGCAUGGUGGGGGUUGGAAAGUUUCGGCGGUUGGGGAUGGACUCGCGGCUUAUCAGCUUGUUGGUGGGGUAGUGGCUUACCAAGGCUUUGACGGGUAGCCGGCCUGAGAGGGUGACCGGCCACAUUGGGACUGAGAUACGGCCCAGACUCCUACGGGAGGCAACAGUGGGGAAUAUUGCACAAUGGGCGGAAGCCUGAUGCAGCAACGCCGCGUGCGGGAUGACGGCCUUCGGGUUGUAAACCGCUUUCGCCCGUGACGAAGCGUGAGUGACGGUAAUGGGGAAAGAAGCACCGGCUAACUACGU
rnacentral:rRNA from 1 species